UACGUAGGUGGCAAGCGUUAUCCGGAAUUACUGGGUGUAAAGGGCGCGCAGGCGGCCCUGCAAGUCGGAUGUGAAAGAUCAAGGCUCAACCUUGACAGGCCAUUCGAAACUGUGGGACUUGAGUGUCAGAGGGGAAAGUGGAAUUCCUAGUGGAGCGGUAAAAUGCGCAGAUAUUAGGAGGAACACCGGUGGCGAAGGCGACUUUCUGGACUGUAACUGACACUGAGGCACGAAAGCGUGGGGAGCAAACAGGAUUAGAUACCCUGGUA
rnacentral:rRNA from 1 species